AUUCUGCAGUGAUAGUCUACAAACUCAAAAAUCUCUCUAUCAACCUCUAGCUUUCGUCAGACCUAGCCCCCUACACAAUUUUCUUAGACACCUACAACAAAAAAAGGGUGUAACAUACCAUCGGCAAGAUUGGAUUUGAUGUCCAAAAGACUGUUGAAGUUUUAGCUCUUUUCUCAGCGAAUCCUAGCAUCCCGAUGUUGUUACUCCAUCUACUUCUAAAGUAGACCCCUACCUCCACAACCAAUAGUUUCCUUAUAAGUUUGAAUUCAAAUCCAGAUUUAAAUUAAACACCUCAAUGCCCUCCAACCCCAUCCCUAAUGCUGGAUCAGCUCCAUCCAAACAGAUCAUCUAUGACCUGCCAUACCCUAAAAUGCUUGAUAACACUCACCACCUAGCCACUAUCCCUAUCACAUAGGUGUUUUCAUCCCUUAAAGGUAAUCUUAUGUUUCAAAGCAUAGUGGAAAGAUCAGAAUGCACCUCUAUAGUCAGUUCAGCUUUAAACUCCAAGAAAAGUAUCUGUAUCGGGAAGAAAAAAUUCAAAGUUCUUGAUAUCGAAAACCAAAGCCUUAGUGACGAUGAUAUCUUGUUCAUCAACUCACUGACUUUGGGCGAUUUGAUCUAGCUGGGGUAGAAAUGUGGUAUUAUGUUACAUACAGGUACAAUUGAAGAUCCAAUCUUAAAUUUAAAAAGUCUC
rnacentral:lncRNA from 1 species